GAUGAACGCUAGCGGCAGGCUUAACACAUGCAAGUCGAGGGGUAGUCUAGCAAUAGAUGAGACCGGCGCACGGGUGCGUAACGCGUAUGCAAUCUACCUUUUACAGAGGGAUAGCCCAGAGAAAUUUGGAUUAAUACCUCAUAGUAUAACGACUCGGCAUCGAGAUGUUAUUAAAGUUCCAACGGUAAAAGAUGAGCAUGCGUCCCAUUAGCUAGUUGGUGUGGUAACGGCACACCAAGGCAACGAUGGGUAGGGGUCCUGAGAGGGAGAUCCCCCACACUGGUACUGAGACACGGACCAGACUCCUACGGGAGGCAGCAGUGAGGAAUAUUGGUCAAUGGGCGCAAGCCUGAACCAGCCAUGCCGCGUGCAGGAUGACGGUCCUAUGGAUUGUAAACUGCUUUUGUACAGGAAGAAACACUCCCUCGUGAGGGAGCUUGACGGUACUGUAAGAAUAAGGAUCGGCUAACUCCGUGCCAGCAGCCGCGGUAAGACGAAGGAUGCAAGCGUUAUCCGGAUUCAUUGGGUUUAAAGGGUGCGUAGGCGGACUUGUAAGUCAGUGGUGAAAUCUCUCAGCUUAACUGAGAAACUGCCAUUGAUACUGCGGGUCUAGAGUAUAGAUGACGUUGGCGGAAUAUGACAUGUAGUGGUGAAAUACUUAGAUAUGUCAUAGAACACCGAUUGCGAAGGCAGCUAACGAAACUAUAACUGACGCUGAGGCACGAAAGUGCGGGGAUCAAACAGGAUUAGAUACCCUGGUAGUCCGCACCGUAAACGAUGAUUACUCGUUGUUGGCGAUAUGACAGUCAGCGACCAAGCGAAAGCGAUAAGUAAUCCACCUGGGGAGUACGCCGGCACGGUGAA
rnacentral:rRNA from 1 species